rnacentral:rRNA from 1 species
GCUGGCGGAGUGCUUAACACAUGCAAGUCGAACGAUGAAGCCCAGCUUGCUGGGUGGAUUAGUGGCGAACGGGUGAGUAACACGUGAGUAACCUGCCCCCGACUCUGGGAUAAGCCCGGGAAACUGGGUCUAAUACCGGAUAUGACCUCGCACCGCAUGGUGCGGGGUGGAAAGAUUUAUCGGUGGGGGAUGGACUCGCGGCCUAUCAGCUUGUUGGUGAGGUAAUGGCUCACCAAGGCGACGACGGGUAGCCGGCCUGAGAGGGUGACCGGCCACACUGGGACUGAGACACGGCCCAGACUCCUACGGGAGGCAGCAGUGGGGAAUAUUGCACAAUGGGCGCAAGCCUGAUGCAGCGACGCCGCGUGAGGGAUGACGGCCUUCGGGUUGUAAACCUCUUUCAGUAGGGAAGAAGCGAAAGUGACGGUACCUGCAGAAGAAGCGCCGGCUAACUACGUGCCAGCAGCCGCGGUAAUACGUAGGGCGCAAGCGUUAUCCGGAUUUAUUGGGCGUAAAGAGCUCGUAGGCGGUUUGUCGCGUCUGCCGUGAAAGUCCGAGGCUCAACCUCCGGAUCUGCCGGUGGGGUACGGGCCAAANUAAAAUGNUGGUANGGGGAGACUGGAAAUNCCCUGGGUGUACCGGUNGAAAAUGCNCAAAAUUUCAGGGNGGAACCCCCCAUNGGGNCAAAGGCANGGUCCUCUGGGNCNUUUUACUUGACCCUUGAAGGNNCCGAAAGCCUUGNGGGAAGCGGAACAAGGAUUUAAANUACCCCNGGGUAAGUCCCCNNGCUUGUNAAA